GGUCCCGUAGCUCAGCAGGAUAGAGCAGCGGUUUCCUAAACCGAAGGUCACAGGUUCGAAUCCUGUCGGGACCGCCA
rnacentral:tRNA from 7 species